UUUGCGUCGAAGGUAUACCGGUAAGGAGUGCUGGAGCGAAUAGAAGUGAGCAUGCAGGCAUGAGUAGCGAUAAUUAAUGUGAGAAUCAUUAACGCCGUAAACCCAAGGUUUCCUACGCGAUGCUCGUCAUCGUAGGGUUAGUCGGGUCCUAAGUCGAGUCCGAAAGGGGUAGACGAUGGCAAAUUGGUUAAUAUUCCAAUACCAACAUUAGUGUGCGAUGGAAGGACGCUUAGGGCUAAGGGGGCUAGCGGAUGGAAGUGCUAGUCUAAGGUCGUAGGAGGUUAUACAGGCAAAUCCGUAUAACAUACUCCGAGAACUGAAAGGCUUUUUGAAGUCUUCGGAUGGAUAGAAGAACCCCUGAUGCCGUCGAGCCAAGAAAAGUUUCUAAGUUUAGCUAAUGUUGCCCGUACCGUAAACCGACACAGGUGGGUGGGAUGAGUAUUCUAAGGCGCGUGGAAGAACUCUCUUUAAGGAACUCUGCAAAAUAGCACCGUAUCUUCGGUAUAAGGUGUGGUUCGCUUCGUAUUAGGAUUUACUCCGAAAGCGAAGAAACUUACAACAAAGAGUCCCUCCCGACUGUUUACCAAAAACACAGCACUCUGCUAACUCGUAAGAGGAUGUAUAGGGUGUGACGCCUGCCCGGUGCUCGAAGGUUAAUUGAUGGGGUUAGCAUUAGCGAAGCUCUUGAUCGAAGCCCGAGUAAACGGCGGCCGUAACUAUAACGGUCCUAAGGUAGCGAAAUUCCUUGUCGGUUAAAUACCGACCUGCAUGAAUGGCGUAACGAGAUGGGAGCUGUCUCAAAGAGGGAUCCAGUGAAAUUGUAGUGGAGGUGAAAAUUCCUCCUACCCGCGGCAAGACGGAAAGACCCCGUGGACCUUUACUACAGCUUGACACUGCUAUUUGGAUAAGAAUGUGCAGGAUAGGUGGGAGGCUUUGAGUAUAUGACGCCAGUUGUAUAUGAGCCAUUGUUGAGAUACCACUCUUUCUUAUUUGGGUAGCUAACCAGCUUGAGUUAUCCUCAAGUGGGACAAUGUCUGGUGGGUAGUUUGACUGGGGCGGUCGCCUCCCAAAUAAUAACGGAGGCUUACAAAGGUUGGCUCAGAACGGUUGGAAAUCGUUCGUAGAGUAUAAAGGUAUAAGCCAGCUUAACUGCAAGACAUACAAGUCAAGCAGAGACGAAAGUCGGUCUUAGUGAUCCGGUGGUUCUGUGUGGAAGGGCCAUCGCUCAAAGGAUAAAAGGUACCCCGGGGAUAACAGGCUGAUCUCCCCCAAGAGCUCACAUCGACGGGGAGGUUUGGCACCUCGAUGUCGGCUCAUCGCAUCCUGGGGCUGGAGCAGGUCCCAAGGGUAUGGCUGUUCGCCAUUUAAAGCGGUACGCGAGCUGGGUUCAGAACGUCGUGAGACAGUUCGGUCCCUAUCUGCCGUGGGCGUAAGAAGAUUGAAGAGAUUUGACCCUAGUACGAGAGGACCGGGUUGAACAAACCACUGGUGUAGCUGUUGUUCUGCCAAGAGCAUCGCAGCGUAGCUAAGUUUGGAAAGGAUAAACGCUGAAAGCAUCUAAGCGUGAAGCCAACUCUAAGAUGAAUCUUCUCUAAGCUCUCUAGAAGACUACUAGUUUGAUAGGCUGGGUGUGUAAUGGAUGAAAGUCCUUUAGCUGACCAGUACUAAUAGAGCGUUUGGCUUAUCUUUAAUAAAGCAU
rnacentral:rRNA from 1 species